ensembl:lincRNA
GUGCCAGCGCUCCUCUCCCAGCGCUCACCGGUCCUUCCAGCAGUCCUCAGGUUGCACGCGACCGGCAGUGAACUUCCACUGGGUAGGGGUGGGAAGCCGGUGGCUCCGGGCAGCGGUGAUAACCCAGCAAGGAAGCAGAGUCGCGUUUCGGAGCGUCCACUCGUAACGCGGCCUCUCGCACACGGAGCUCGUAGUCCAGGGGAGAGGAGGCCAGGGCGGCCCUGGAGAGGUUGUAGGUGCAGCGGAUCGGCCGUAGAGACCCCGUCCGGCUCAGGAAGGCACUGUCAGCCGCUCCGAGCGGAACCCCUUUCCCAGACAGUAGAGUCUCCCCUCCCCCUCCGGGGACCGUUACUGGUCGCCUCCUGAAGGAUCUAUCUGGGAUUGUCUGCUAAAGUGUCCUUAGGCACCGUUAGUCUAGAGCUCGCUGGCUUGUGGCCUCAGAAGCUCUGUGUCCUGGGGCCUUUGCAAACCAACCCAGCACUACAGAAAAACAAGUCCAGCAAUGAAAUGCUUUAAAAGCUGGAUACAAUGUCUCAUACCUGCACUUGGGAAGCUGAAGCAGGAGGACUGCUGAAAGUCUGAGACCAGCCUGGGCUACAAGUGAGACUGUCUCAAAAAACAACCCCCCCCCCCCCCCCCCCCCCCCCCCCCCCCCCCCCCACACCCCCCCCAAAAAUGCAAAACCAAAACGGGAAAGAAAAAGAAUAACACGAUGUCCUGGUGUCAGUGGCUCUCGGAUCACUCUAGUUUUCUCUACUCUGACUGUAUCAACAAACUAAUUCCUAAGAACCACCAUGUGGCGAUGUGACUUGCAGAUGCCCCAGAAAUGGCUACUGUCUGGGAUCCCGGUCCAGGUUUUGCAUGAUUUCUUUCAUGGCUGCACAUGCUUCUCUUCUUAAGGCUUUGGCUUGGCCUACUUACUAGAAGUGCUCAAUGGCACACAGAUGCUUUCUCUGUACUGUCUAUUCUCACUCGGUCUAGUUCCACAUUUGAUGUCGCUAUCUUCUCCAGACACUAAUGCCAGAGUGUUGACAUUAGAGUUCAUCUGUAGAAGAUCCUUUCCCUAGCCCGAGUGUUGCCAAGGCUUUUUUAGGAAAAGCCUUCCAAAUGUUAGAGGCCCGGAGAUUUAGCAUGAGAGUCUUGUCAAAUAAUCUCAAUAAAGAGAAUCGUUGUCCCAAGUAUUAACAAUGAUAUUCCUUCCAUUGCCUAUCCCAGCUAUCUUAGGAAAGGGAUCAUAGUCAUUAUUUUCUUUGUGUUACUAUGAGCCUAGUUCUGUUUCCUAGCACAGUACAGCUUUGUAUUGUGCUUAAAUGUCUUUGGGUAAAUGCCUGUCCACAUGAUCACUCAUCAUUGUAGGCCUUGCAUCUGUGCUGGCUGUGACAUCCAUAGUCAGAGGUGGGUGAGGCUCUUCUUCAAGGAGGGACAUUACAAGGAUACUACCCUCUGCUUUCUUCUCCCUUGUGGAACUUCAUGAAAAGCUUGGCUCUUCUUUCUAUUUGGCUGAAUAAAGAGCAGGAUGGUUUCUCUGAGUCCUGAUAGGAUGAGAACUAUAUCCUUGCAUAGUCCACAGAGCUUCAGGUCCUUUGUGUGCCCUUAGAGAUAUGUCUGCUUCUUUCUCGCCACAAGUCGGAAGCCCAGAAGCACCGGAAGGUGAAGGUCCUUUUUAGAGAACGUAUUCUCUUUUUCUGGUGUGACUACUUUUGUUCUCUGUCUCUCUCUCCUCUCUUUUAUGUUUUAGCCCGGGCUGUCAUAGAACUUAUCAUCCUGUGGCCACUGCCUCCUGUGUGACCAAGUUGCAUGUGUACACCAGCAUGCCUGGUGUUUGGGUUUGUGCAUGCUCAACAAACACUCUACCAAUUGAGCUAUAUCCCAACCUCCAUUUUGCUUUCUUUAUGAGGGUCCAGUUUUUCAAAUUGGCCCAGUUACAUGCUUGUGUGAAGAGUCACAGAAUGCAUUGGUCAAUGCCACUCUGCAAUUUUCUUUCUUAAAACCAUAUAAUAGACUUGACCAUUGACUUGCUUUGGUGAGAAACCUAUGUAGAGAAGCCAGGUAGUCCAGAAAGGAGACUGAGUCUGUUGAAGUCAAUGGGAUGCUCUUUUGUUUUUAGUCUGAGAAGUGCAAUCUAUUGGAGAGAAAGUUUCCGUUGCCCAACGAUCAGAAAUCUGAGAAAAGGUGCUUUCAUAGGUGCUGGCUGGUAACUCAGACGGACUGCGUGUGGGAAAGAGAAGCUGGAGGAGCAAGGCUUGCCCUCUUGCCAAGGGGCAGCGCUGAAGGUAGCAGCCUGACAGUGUUUGGGUAUGGGGCAAUGCUGUUGCCCACAUCAAUUUGUGUGAUUGAUUGUGCUCAGCAGUUUUCUUCUCCGUUUGGGAUAAUCUUGCACUAUUACAAAAAAACAAACCAAACAAAAACAA